rnacentral:rRNA from 1 species
UACAGGGGGUGCAAACGUUGCUCGGAAUCAUUGGGCGUAAAGCGCACGUAGGCGGUUCGUUAUGUCGGAUGUGAAAGCCCUUGGCUUAACCGAGGAAGUGCAUCCGAAACUGGCGAGCUAGAGUACGAAAGAGGAUCGCGGAAUUCCCCGGUGUAGAGGUGAAAUUCGUAGAUAUCGGGAGGAACACCGGUGGCGAAGGCGGCGAUCUGGGUCGAUACUGACGCUGAGGUGCGAAAGCGUGGGGAGCAAACAGG